GACACAAAAAAAAAAAUUGUCAAUGUGCACAGCAUGGCGAAAUUAUCUUCCAGAUGGAAAACCUGGACUGAUGGAUUGUUUAGAUCAGAUGAUAAAGCGCAGGCCUUGAAUUUUUUGACAACUGCCUAGUUAGAUUUGCUCUUCACCUUCUCAUUUAUGUAUGGAAAAGAUAGAUCCACAUAGCUGCCGUUAGUUUGAUACUAGGCUUGGUUUAGGUUGAGUAUAUUCUUUUAAGUAUGAACAUUCUUUCAGGCUACUUGAGUAUGGCUGUGGAACUUGGAGCUAUGAAGCCAUCUAUGCUUAUGUUUAACUUGUUUCCUCCAGGAUGGAUAUUCAUAGAUGAUGAACAGCUCCAGUAUUUAUCUGCG
rnacentral:misc_RNA from 1 species